ACACAUUUUAUCUUAUAGUUACUUCUCUCCUUUCUGCGACCAAAAUGCAUGACAAGAAACAAUAUCCAGAUCACCCUCAGUGGGCAAAAAUUUGCCACCAGCAAAUGAUCUAGAAGAAAUUCCAGGGUGAUAGAGCAAGUAUGAAUCUUCCCACACACGAGAGGAGACAGGAUCCUGGUGAUGGCAAGAUAUCAUUUAUGAAGACCCCUUCGUAUGUCUUCAGGACAUUUUCAUCUCCUCCCAGAUCCCUAAACACACGUGGCUGUCCCCACCACUGAGCAAGGCUGGCCAGCGAGAAGGGAGGAGCCAGACAUUCAAGGAGGAGCCACCCCCAUAGUCCAACCUACCAGUGACUUCUAGUACCCACUG